ACUUCAAAGGAAUGCAGCAAAUCCACAAAUAAAAUGAGCCAUCUAUUCAACAAAUAUGUUAACAUCCACAACCAAGCUUCAUAAUUCUGAAACUCAACAAUGAAAUCUAAAUAGUAGAAUAUUCAGCCAUUAAACUACUUUUGUUCAAGCUUCCAACAACAUAUGAAGCUUAUUACUGAACACAAUCUAAAAUGUAUAUCUAAUUGGAGUUAAAAUUAUAAAUCAAAUGAGAAAAAUAGGAGAUUCAAACAUGUACCUUUUGCGGGAGCCAUUAGAGACUGUAAUAAA
rnacentral:lncRNA from 1 species